AUGCAUUGAAAACAACCAUGAUCCCAUGCAGGAGGAUCACCUGGUCCAGGCCAUCCGUCUGGGUGCCUCCUUGCUGGACUGUGCAGAUGACGACUAUACCCUGGGUGCUCCUGAACACAGCAGGCUCAGUCCUGAACUUCCU